UGUAUGUAUUAUUACGAUAAAAUGGAUGACUGCCGCCAUUUCCUAUCUCUCCUGUGUUAAUCGUUUCAGCCAAUCAGGGAAACUCUGACAGACAACCCCUGAUGUCUCUGGUCCAAUCACAUCAAGAGGCUGUUGUUUGACGGUGAAUUUGACCAAUGCGGUUGUAGAAUGAUAACCCACCCCUUUUUUAAAAACAUUAUUUAAUCUCCAGACGGUGCAGCGCUCCGUUCAUUUAUUUUACACCAGAGGGAAAGGGCCGAAUGAGCUGACGGAUUUCUCUGAUGAGUUGCGUGGUGUUAUUCCUCGCAGCAUUGAGCAUUUGUUCUCCCUCAUCAGCAGAGAGGUGGAGAAGGUGAGCUGUUACAUUCAACCUCACAUCAAACACUACCUGCACCACCCUCCUGUCUGUAGACACAGCAGCAGACCCGCCCGCUUGUCCACAGACCCGCCCACUCAUCAAUAAGCCCGCCCACUCGUCCACAGACCUGCCUGCUCAUCAAUAAGCCCGCCCACAGACCCACCCCAGUCAUCAUUGAGGUCACCUCUGUGUUUUAAAUUGUGCACUGCUUACAUUAAAAAGUGCAUUAUGGGUGACCUUCAUUUUCUAUGGUACAUUUGACACUAACCUGUUGCAGUGCAUUUUGGGAUUUUAUCAGCUGGAUGUUCUGGUCAUGUUACACAAUGUUGUAAGUUUGUGUGUGCGCACGUGCAGUCUGCAGGAGCAAAGAGCUUCCUGUGUAAAUGCUCCUUCAUCGAGAUCUACAACGAGCAGAUUUUUGACCUCCUGGACAGUGGCUCAGUGAGUCUGUUCCUCAGAGAGGACAUUAAGAAAGGAGUAUUUGUGGAAGGAGCGGUGGAGAAAUAUGUGGCUUCAGCCGCAGAGGCCUACCAGGUAUACACAUACACCACUGGUCAUAGACAGUAUGUCUUUAGUGAGUUGACUGAUUUUGCUUCAGUCUGACUUUCUGUGAAUCAGUUUUUAACAUAUUUUGAACUAAUUGGAUUCAGUGAUUCAUUACACAGAAUCUGGAUCAGUUGUUCAGAACAAAGAAUCAACACAGUUAAUCAGUACAGCAAACAGUUCAGAACUGACCAAGUGAAUCUCUAUCAAAUUACUGACUCAAGUUAAGUUUUAGAGCAGAGUAUUGCUACUGUGAACCUGUGAAUCACACUCCUUCAGAAGACUUACACUAUACAAUAAAUUAGUAAAUUAAUUAAACUUAAAACCGAUCUAAUAAAUUGGUGAGGUAUGUCAGUUUUCCGGAACAGAAAAGUGAUAAAUUGGUGAACUGGGCAAGCUCAGAACUGAUUCAUUUAACUGGUUACACAAACAGAACAGAGAAUUAAUACAGUGAAUCAGUAAAUUAAACAGUUCAGAAUUGAUUCAUUGAAUCAGUUAAUCUAGUAGUUUGGAACUAAUACAGCAAAUUAGUACAUCAAACUUGUUCAGAAUUAAUACAGUGAAUCAGUAAAUUCACUGGCUCAGAAUUGAUUCAGCGAUUAUUCAUAACUGAUGAAGAGAUUCAGUUAAUCAAAUAAUUUAUUUUUGUUGCAGUGAAUCAGAAAAAUCAAACAAUUCAGAAUUGAUACAGUGAAUCAGUAAAUAAAGUUCAGAAUUGAUUCAGUAACUCGGUGAAUCAGUAAAUCAAACAAUUCGGAAUGAAACUCCAAAUGAAUCCUAAUCAAACUUCAGUCUGAACAGAACUGAUGCGGUGUGUGUAUAGGUGUUAUCUAUGGCAGUAGUUUUCAAAGUGGGGGCCGCCAGGGGGCGCCUGGGGGGCCUCAACAAUUUGGCGUGAAAAAUAAAUACAUGCUUUUCUCUUUCUCACUCUCAGACAACCACACACACACACAAUCAAUUCCUAAUGUAAUGGAAAGAUGUAAUUAUUAAUAAAAAAAAGGGGGGGGGGAUAUAUUCAGAAGUCUGUAUUUUUAAUGUUUUUAAAAGACAUCUUGCAAAAGGGGGGCUUCGGUCAAAUGUUAAUGCCAUUUGGGGGGGCCUUGCCCUGGAAAAGUUUGGGAACCCCUGAUCUAUGAGAUGGCGUAAUCGGCAUGUUGCGUCCAUGUCGAUGAAUCACGAGUCAUCUCACUCUCAUGCCGUUUUCACUAUGACGCUGGAGUCCAAGGAGACGGGACAGGAAGUGGUGAGCAUCAGAAUGUCUCAACUCAAUCUGGUAGAUCUGGCGGGGUCUGAGAGGCAGAGAGACACAUGCUGAAGGAUCACGCCUGAAGGUGGCGAGCAGCAUCAACCGCUCUCUGAUGUGCCUGGGUCAGGUGAUCAUGGCUCUGUGAUCAGGGCACUUCGUUCAAAAGGAAUGAUGGAGUCCCAGUCAUCUUUACCUUCAUGCUUGUUAAGUUUAGCUUUAGGUCCAUCUGGAGCACUACCACGAGGGACUGUGAGCUGAUUGGUGGAUGCUGAAGUAGUUGAAGAUAACCUUUACGAAUUCCUUUGACAAAAGAAGAACCUAUUGCAAUCGUUCUCAUGACUGGAUCUGCAAGCUGUCGUAAGGUUGUGAUGGACUUUAACAGGAACCAUGGCAAGGACAUCACACACAACACUCUUGCCAAACUUAAACCAAAAAGAUGAAGUGUUGAGGACCAAGCGAGACGUAGACGUCCACGGACAUCCACUGACGAAGGCACAACCGAUUUGGUACUGGCAAACAUAGUCCCCAAUAUAUGGAGACUUUUGGGACACCCUGUAUAUUCCAGUUUUCCUAGUUCCCCAAUGGUCCAUUUUGGCUCAGCUGCCACCUCCUUUAAAGGUGUCUGUGUAAGUGGACAUUGCUUCAAGUGAAAAAGGUGCUCUGUCUGCAUCAUGUCUGAGUCAGGGUUCAAUUAGUGACAGUGUGAACAAGUACCAGUAAAGUGGUCAAAGACACAGUCAUGAUGAUAUCCCACCCUUAAAAAACUUAGUUUAUGUUGGACCUCAGAAUUUUUGAGGAUAUGUGUGAUGAUUGUCCUGUUGGUGAAAUUCUCAGUCUGAAUCUCAGCACUUUUAAUUUAAAAUGGAAGGUGAAAUACCUGAACCAAGAUGCAUGUGGGUAGGAAUCAAAUCCAUCUUUCCAUCUUCCAGAGAGGAAAAGUCAUACCAGCUUUCACUUUUUGUACCGUCUGCUUUCACAGUGACACCCUACUCUAACCAGUAGGGUCUAGACACCGAGGAACAUACAGGGAACAGGGACUGAGAUGUUUCACUCAUGAAUAUUGGCUCAGUCCAGAGUUUGUUCAUUUAUUCACUGGUACCCGUGUAGUAAAUAGAGUGCAUGAUUUGGUACACAUUAUGAUGGUGAGAUAUUGAGAGAUGCUUAUGGAUAUGUCCCAGAUCAAGCAUUCCUGUUGCUAUACUGGCCACAUAAACUCCACCACAGUUGUCUCAUUAUCAUCAGUGAACUGCAUGGCUGAAUUUAUGGACAUGUCCUAAAUACCCAGUUCACUUUAUAGGCGAAAUCACAGGACGUAAACAUGAGAGCAAGGUUAUAUAUACCCAGAUCUAUGUGCUAUGCCAGUGGCAAUGGGGCCUUAAAAGACUACAACCUUGCUCAGAUAGUACAAUAAUGCAC